ACAGUAAACUUAUUGAUAUAACUCAAUCAUUCUAAUAUUCUUAAAUAUGAACCGAAUAAAAAUAAUUCUAUAAAAUUAAAAUUUAAUUUUAGACGCAAUUGCUUAUAUAUCUUUGAAAAGUUCCCAACUUAAUUUCUAAUUUAUUCCUUUUAGAAGACUAAUAUAUAUAUAUGGAAAAUACUUUUUUUACGUUUCAACCAUUUCUAAUAUUCUCCUAGAGUUAAAUUCCGUUAAUGAGCUAUUAGCGAUAGCUGUUACCUGUACGAAAUUAUUAUUUUACCCUUUCAAAUAUACCCUUCCACAAUCACCGACUUUUAUUAUUUUUCCUUAAGUUAAGGGUACAAAAAAGAUAUUUUGAUUUUUGUUAACUCUAGUAAAUAUUUAACUCACAUUUAACUCAAAUUAACUUAAUGGGUGAUAACUGUAGGGUAUUUUGAAAUAAUGGAGGAACAUACGAGGAGUAUAUUGGAAAGAAAAAAAAAAGUAGGGGUAAAAGAGAUAUUUCUGAAGUUUUGAGGGAUAUAUAAGUAAUUAUUCCUUAAUUUUAAUAUAAUAAUUUCUGAGAAGUUAAUAAUUUUAAUAUAAUAAUUUUAGUGAGAAUUUAGCUAAUUGAGGGUCCCACCACCUUGUUUGAUCUCUCGAAUUAUAUUUGGUCAAACUCGGCUCACCGGAAUCUUCAUAUACGAGCGUGCCCCAUAAUAUAUAAUCCUAUGCGGGAAACACGAUUAGCCCUUCAUUUCGCCUUCUCAAUUUAUUCGCCCAGGCCUCAGCGGCCACCACGCGUCCCCAUAAUAAAUUCUUGUUCCCUACUUUGCUCCUAAAUACUGUGUUUGGUAUCCGAGAACAGUAAUUUUUAAAUUUUUGGAAUAAGCUGGUAUAAUGCUAAUGCUGGAACUGUUGUUCCACUCUUUUCGCUGGAACAAGUUUGUUCUCAGGUGGGAACCAAAUUAAUUAAAAUCUAAAUUUAAUUUUAAUUAUGAUAUUAAAUCAUUACUUAAUCUAAUUAAUAUAUUUAAAUCAUUAUUUAUUGCUUAAAUAAUAAAAUAAUUAAUUAAUUAAUUAAUUUAUUAUUUAUAAUUAAUUAUUAAUAAUUUAAUGUAUUUAAUCCGUAAACUAAUAUUUAUAUUGAUAAAUCAUUAAUAUUUCUAUUAAUCUAAUUAAUUUUUUUUACUAGUUAUUGGGUUAAAAUAAUUUACUAACUAAUUAAAAAAUUAAAUUAUUUUUUAUAAUUAAUUAAUUAAUUAAUUAAUAUAUUUUUAUUUUCUUAUACAAUAUUCAUAACUAAUAAAUUUGUUAAUUUAUUAAAUUAUUUUUAAGUAAUAUUUUGAUAUUAAUUAAUUAGAUAAAAUAAUUUUAAUUUAAAAUUAUAACUCUUAUUGUCUUUAUUCUAAUCUAACCACGCAUUCAAACACUACCUAAUUUACAUCCAAACACAAAAUUGGUUUAGUUCUUGUGUUUAUAGCUGAACUUGUAUAUAUCUCUGAAAUAAGCAGUUUUUAAUUACUUAUACCCGAAUCAAACGCCGCCCACAU
rnacentral:lncRNA from 1 species